rnacentral:rRNA from 1 species
CUAGCUGGUCUGAGAGGAUGAUCAGCCACACUGGAACUGAGACACGGUCCAGACUCCUACGGGAGGCAGCAGUGGGGAAUAUUGCACAAUGGGCGCAAGCCUGAUGCAGCCAUGCCGCGUGUGUGAAGAAGGCCUUCGGGUUGUAAAGCACUUUCAGUCGUGAGGAAGGUGGUAGUGUUAAUAGCACUAUCAUUUGACGUUAGCGACAGAAGAAGCACCGGCUAACUCCGUGCCAGCAGCCGCGGUAAUACGGAGGGUGCGAGCGUUAAUCGGAAUUACUGGGCGUAAAGCGCAUGCAGGUGGUUUGUUAAGUCAGAUGUGAAAGCCCGGGGCUCAACCUCGGAAUAGCAUUUGAAACUGGCAGACUAGAGUACUGUAGAGGGGGGUAGAAUUUCAGGUGUAGCGGUGAAAUGCGUAGAGAUCUGAAGGAAUACCGGUGGCGAAGGCGGCCCCCUGGACAGAUACUGACACUCAGAUGCGAAAGCGUGGGGAGCAAACAGGAUUAGAUACCCUGGUAGUCCACGCCGUAAACGAUGUCUACUUGGAGGUUGUGGCCUUGAGCCGUGGCUUUCGGAGCUAACGCGUUAAGUAGACCGCCUGGGGAGUACGGUCGCAAGAUUAAAACUCAAAUGAAUUGACGGGGGCCCGCACAAGCGGUGGAGCAUGUGGUUUAAUUCGAUGCAACGCGAAGAACCUUACCUACUCUUGACAUCCAGAGAACUUUCCAGAGAUGGAUUGGUGCCUUCGGGAACUCUGAGACAGGUGCUGCAUGGCUGUCGUCAGCUCGUGUUGUGAAAUGUUGGGUUAAGUCCCGCAACGAGCGCAACCCUUAUCCUUGUUUGCCAGCGAGUAAUGUCGGGAACUCCAGGGAGACUGCCGGUGAUAAACCGGAGGAAGGUGGGGACGACGUCAAGUCAUCAUGGCCCUUACGAGUAGGGCUACACACGUGCUACAAUGGCGCAUACAGAGGGCAGCAAGCUAGCGAUAGUGAGCGAAUCCCAAAAAGUGCGUCGUAGUCCGGAUUGGAGUCUGCAACUCGACUCCAUGAAGUCGGAAUCGCUAGUAAUCGUGGAUCAGAAUGCCACGGUGAAUACGUUCCCGGGCCUUGUACACACCGCCCGUCACACCAUGGGAGUGGGCUGCAAAAGAAGUAGGUAGUUUAACCUUCGGGAGGACGCUUACCACUUUGUGGUUCAUGACUGGGGUGAAGUCGUAACAAGGUAGCGCUAGGGGAACCUGGCGCUG